GGGCUUGAGUUUGAAUGUAGCUUUUUUCUAAAAUUGUGUUUUUCUAUUCGCUUAGAUAAGAAUAGGUGACAAAAAACCAAAAAACAAAAACCAAAAAAAACACCAGUCAGUUUUGGUCACAAAUGUAUGAUACUGUCUAAACUUACCUACAGUCUUGUUAGUAAUGCACAUGCCACUAUGUGCUAUUUUUCUCUAGUAAAUUUUAAAAAAUCAUUUAUUGAUAAAUCAGAAAGGUGCCAAUCAACCAUGCAUUUGGAAAGAAGUGAAAAAUAGUGUAUGUAAACAUAAGGUCUUUGUAACUCCAGAUUCUGUAAUAUCAGCUGCCUGGUGUGUUUCUGGCAAGCCAAGGGCGAGUGAGAGAGGUAUAAUGAAAUGUUAAAUUAACCUGUAAGGGGUUCCUAAGGACAGAGGACACAUUCUAUUUAAAGAAAGUAAUAUUGUACCUCGUGCCAAGCUGAAGUAAUUUCCUUCCGCUUUCUAUACUUCCUAGGUUUCCAGAUUUAUAUUUUUUAACAGCAUUUGCCAGAGCUCACCUGAAGAAAGCAUUACUCAAAGUCUAAAGGAAAUAUUUUUGUUCAGAGUCCAGACCCAUAAAGAAUAACUACUGUAUGCUAAAAGAAAAAAAAAAAAAAAAACACCCGUAAUUUUACAACUAAUUAUGCACAUAAGUCGAAUAAAUAGCCCACUGUUGCUGUGUUGAAUAGAAAAUUCACACAUUGCUGCUUAUAGCAAUGCACUGGGACUGCUUUCUCUAUCAGUAACCUAAUUAAGGAAUUUGUUAGCAUGUAGUUUGUCUUUUUGGAAGCCAAAGUAGAUUGUGUGAAACAAAAUAUAUACAUGGUUCCAUUGACUGGGAGAUCUAUUAGUUUCUAAGUGUCCACUUCAAUCAGUUAUUCAAGAAGUCAGCUAUUUCUUGUUAGGUAUAAAGGAGCUUUAGUUUAAUUGAAUUUACUUAUAAUGUAUAAUUCAUUAGUUCCAGAAGGGUUGAGUUGGCACACUGUUAUUAAUAAAUUAUUUGAAGAUCAAAAAGUCUGAAAAUAUAACCAUCAGGAGCUGGACUCACAAGGACAUGUAUGAGUGUAAAUUUAGCAGUAAGGUACCUCUUUUAGUCACAAAACUAUCAAGCAGCUGCUGCAGAAUUAUAGGAGCGUAAAUUUCCCCAACAGUUAAGUUUCCACCAAUACAGCAUUUCCAGUGGCUACAUCUGCUGCAGAGCCCUGUUGGUUCUGUCAGUGCUGGAAUACAUUCUGGGGACAUGAGGCUUCAUCCCUUUGCACAAGGACUGGUUAUCUCACUGUGACCCUUCCCAGCACAAUGGCUUCCCCUAUGCCACCUGGAGGCACCUGUUUCUUCCACGGCUCCGUGCGGGGAUUCAGCUUGGGGAUACGGAUUCUGCCAAGUAGUAAGACAAAUGCUGAAAUGUUCACCAUUUUCAAAAAGGAUAGCCUGAUCACCAGAGAAACUUUAUAAGUACCUUUGUCCUACUGGAAGCUUAAAGAUGAAGAAGGACAUAGUUGUUCCCAAGAAGCAGAAAGUGAACUCUUACAAAUGUUUGUAAUGUAAGAUAUUAUUAUCUCUCUUUUACUGUGGUUUGUUGAAGCUUGUUUUCUUUCAUGUUUUAUAAUAAACUGUGGCAUUUAAAAAUGUCUUCAAUAGCCUAACUAAAAUUUUUCUUCUUUAGAUGCCAAUGGUUAAUUUUUUUGUGUAUUCAAAGAAUUUGUUUUUUUCCACUACACAACUCCAGAUUCACACAAAAACAAUUCCUAGUUCAACCCUCCUUUUACUCUUUACACUUUACUCUUGUGUUUAUUCAAUGAGCAGUUGUCUACUGUCUUUCAAGCAACAAACUAAGCGUGUUCAUCGAUUAAUGGAUAUAUUUAGGAAUCUUUCUUAAAAACUUCAUCCCCUUUGUUUGGUUAUUAAGGAGAAAAAAUCUCAAAUACAAAAGUAGUUUCUUCAAUAACAUGUUGCUUAUUUUUUAAAAUAGGUUGGCAAAAUGAGACAAACGUGCCAGGAUACUGUAGUUACUCCAGUCAAGGCCAUUCUAUGUCCUCAUUUUCCCUGUAGAGAGCAGUGUUCCUCAUAAAGCUCUUAUGGACAUUUCCAGGCCACAUAUAUCAGAUGUUUAUGCCUAAAUGAUCAAGCAUUUCCACUAGCACAGGUCUGAUAUUCAAGCUUGGUGUCAUUUUUCAUAUUAAGCAGGUGGCAUGUUCUGGGAAAACAAAACAAAACAUCAUGCUUCUUCAGUGCAUCCUGACCUUUCCUGCCAACCUUUCUUUGAAGGCCCUGACACAGACUAACAGUGCCCACCCCAUCUGACAUGACAACAUCAGUGCCUAUUUCAGAAAGAGUUUCUUCACAGUAAAUGUGUUUCUGUUUGUUCCAGUAAAUCUGGUAAUGCCAGAAAUU